rnacentral:rRNA from 1 species
AACGUAGGUACCGAGCGUUAUCCGGAUUUACUGGGCGUAAAGCGCGUUCAGGCGGUUUGGCAAGUCGGGCAUGAAAUCUCUCGGCUCAACCGGGAGAGGUUGUCCGAUACUGCUGGACUUGAGGGCAGUAGAGGGUGGUGGAAUUCCGGGUGUAGUGGUGAAAUGCGUAGAUAUCCGGAGGAACACCAGUGGCGAAAGCGACGGACUGGAUCUCUUCUGACGCUGAGGCGCGAAAGCUAGGGGAGCAAACGGG